UGCUUUCUUUUCUAUUCUUUUUUUCUUUCUCUCUCAUGUCUUUUAACCCCAUCUUUCCAUACUUCCAUCAAUUUUCUGCAUUUGGUUCAUUUUCUCCGUUUCCUUCCCUACCACCUUCCACUUCCCUUAAGCAAAUAUUAGAUCUUGCAAGGUUGGAUCCAAAUUGGGAUUUUAAUUUUAAGGUCUUAAUCAGCAGCGAAAAUCUAAGAUCUGAUUUUUGCUUGGGGACAGUUUUCCAUUUUUGGGUUAUUUUGGACACUCAAUGCCCACCUUGGCUUGCAGGCAACUUCGGAGGUGGGUAGCAAGAGAACAAGCGGUGGGAUGCUUCUAUUUGUUGGGGAUUAGGGUCUUUUCGAUUUCUUCAACUUUUGACCCUAAUGCUUUUUAUGUUUUCUUCUCUUUAUUUGUUGCUAAUGCCCUUCUUUAGCCUCACGUCUGAGGUGGCGGGUUCGUGAGUUUAUGGGUCAUGUUUCUCCCUUUCUUUGAUCAUCCGAGGACGAUGCUUGUUGAUGGCUCACAUAGGAUGCCACAAAAUCGUCCUCUAUAGAUCUCAUGUUGCGGCUACGUCCUUAAGGUCUUUGUUGUUUCAUAUUCCAGAGGUGGUGAUAAAAGGACGUUAGUAGCGGCUGUUAGGGUUUCUUUGUUUUCUGUUUAAGCUCGAAAUAUUGAUUUGAGCUAUAUUUUAUUUUGGUUUUAGGGUCCAUCUCUAUGUUUUGAGCUUAAAGUUGUGAUUGGGCCUCUCUAUGUAUAAGUUUUCUGGUUUGGUAAUAAAUUUACAUUUGUCAAAAAAAAAAAAAAUUAUUGUGGUUCCAGGUACGAAGAUGUUUUGACGGCUUGGUGACAUGGCGGUUAGUAUUAGUCUUUGAUAUCAUUCCCUAAAAUUUAUUUAUUUAUUUAUUUUACAGUUUUCGAUAAACCAAUGUUUAGCCUAACUUCGAAACCUAGCGAUUCAAAAUUAUAUAUACUAAAACUCAGUUUUUUGGGUUACUAUUGACCUAUAGUGUUCAGAUGGAUUUGCGCCUCAUUUUCUUCAAUGUUUUCUAAUUUUGGUGUGAUUUUAUAGUGGAGUGCAAUUUUGCCCUUGGUUGGUCAUCUCGGGGAAAGCUUUUCUAUUGCUUCCAUUAUGGAUAUCUCGGUCUCUCCAACUCUCUAAAAAAAUCCGGUACCAAAAAUCUCUUCAGUUCUUUAUCAAUUCUAGCAGCCACCGCCACCACUCAGACGGCCCCAAAGCUCUCAGCCAACCAAGCUCACUCAUUUGGCCUUCCACACCCACCCAACAAAACCCCCAAUCACAAUCGCAACAAUCCACAAAGGGGUUAUGAACAUCAUCAACUCGCCCAACACCUCCACUAUCGUGGGUCGUCUCAGAAUCUCCAUAAAAGAGCAUCUUUAUAUAUAUUUUAAACAGAGAAUUUCAAGCUCUCUUUCGCUCUCAAUGGUUGCUGACAGAAAAAAGAUGCUAAAGGUAAUUAGGACAUCAAAACUUGAUUGGUAAUCUGCAAAUCCACGAGGAUUUUGGCAACAUGGGUCGGUCCAAAUCUGAUUAGGGAGGGCUCUCUGAUCAAAAGGGCGUUGUUUUUCUGUACAUUUGAGAGAACCCAGAAGGUAGGAUUUGAUUAUUGUGGACAAGUUAAUAUGCGUUGCAGCUGCUUUGGUGCUUCGGUUGCUGAGAGGAAAAGGAAAUCUUGUUCUGGUUCUGGUCGAUUUGGCCAUGAUCUUAAUGAGAAUGUGUUGGAAAAUAUCAAGGCUUUCUCCUACAAUGAAUUAAGAUCCGCGACGGAUAAUUUUCAUCCGAGUAAUAAGAUAGGUCGAGGCGGUUUUGGAACUGUAUACAAGGCUAAGAAUUAUGGUAAAAGAGUUUAUUGUGGUUAGCUUAGAGGAAAAUGUGAGAUUAGCAAUUUGAAGAGUCUACUUUCUCCUCAUAUGUUUGCUUUAACAUUUGGUUGUUUUACAGAGUAACAGGUAGCGAUUCUAGAAGAGGUUUUCAAGGGGUGUAGUUGGCAUGUGCAGUGCACUCGAGAGUAGGGUUUAUUCCCUUUUGUUGUAAUUUCGUUGCCUAUUAUGUAUGAGUCCCAAUUAGCUCUAUGUAUUGUUGUAAUGCUACUUUCAGCUGCUACAUGCUGAUCCUUGGCGUAUCUCAAGAUGGGGGUGUGACAACUUUUGAUGAUAUCAGAACAUUGGUUCUUGGACCUUUGCAUUUCAACGGAUGCUGAUAACAUGCCUUGUUGUAUCAAUAGUGUCGAGACCUGAAAUUUGGACUUACUUGGGCUAGAGUGAGAAUUUUCUUUCAUCAUCUUCUUGUUUUCCUGUGUUUUCGUUUGGAAGUUGUGUGCCUUUGAAGCCUAGGCAACUAGAAUUUCAUUAGUUAGUUGAGCCUUGAAGUGAACCUAUUAGUUUUGAGAAUAAGUUGGUAGAAAAAUUUGAAGUGUGAAGGUCAUUUCUAUUUUCAGUUUUGAUUUUAGUGCAAGUAUUUUUUACUUUAUUUGAUUAUAUGAGUAUUAUAUAGAAGGAGGAUUGAGUUGAGUUUGGACGUAUGAAAGAGGAAUC